rnacentral:rRNA from 1 species
CUAUCUGCAGUCGAGCGAGGGUCUUCGGACCCUAGCGGCGGACGGGUGAGUAACACGUAGGCCACCUGCCCAUAAGACUGGGAUAACAUAGGGAAACUUAUGCUAAUACCGGAUAGAGUCUUCUCCCGCAUGAGAGAAGACGGAAAGGUGGCGCAAGCUACCACUUGUGGAUGGACUCUUUGCGGCGCAUUAGCUAGUUGGUGGGCUAACGGCCUACCAAGGCGACGAUGCGUAGCCGACCUGAGAGGGUGACCGGCCACACUGGGACUGAGACACGGCCCAGACUCCUACGGGAGGCAGCAGUAGGGAAUUUUCCACAAUGGACGAAAGUCUGAUGGAGCAACGCCCCGUGAACGAUGAAGGCCUUCGGGUUGUAAAGUUCUGUUGUCAGGGACGAACAAGUACCGUUCGAAUAGGGCGGUACCUUGACGGUACCUGACGAGAAAGCCACGGCUAACUACGUGCCAGCAGCCGCGGUAAUACGUAGGUGGCAAGCGUUGUCCGGAUUAAUUGGGCGUAAAGCGCGCGCAGGCGGCUAUGUAAGUCUGGUGUUAAAGCCCGGGGCUCAACCCCGGUUCGCAUCGGAAACUGUGUAGCUUGAGUGCAGAAGAGGAAAGCGGUAUUCCACGUGUAGCGGUGAAAUGCGUAGAGAUGUGGAAGAACACCAGUGGCGAAGGGCGGCUUUUCUGGUCUGUAACUGACGCUGAAGGCGCGAAAGCGUGGGGAGCAAACCAGGAUUAGAUACCCUGGUAGUCCACGCCGUAAACGAUGAGUGCUAAGUGUUAGGGGUUUCAAUACCCUUAAUGCCGCAGCUAACGCAAUAAGCACUCCGCCUGGGGAGUACGGGUCGCAAGACUGAAACUUCAAAGGAAAUUGACCGGGGGCCCGCACCAACCGCUGGAGCAGGGUGGUUUAAUUCAAAGCAACCCGAAAGAAGCCUUACCAGGUCUUGACAUCCCGCUGACCGCUCUGGAGACAGAGCUUCCGCUUCGGGGCACCGGUAACGGAGGGGGUGCAUGGCUAGUCGUCACCGUCGUGUCGUGAGAUGUUUGGGUUAAAUACUCCGCAACGAGCGCAACCCUUAUCUUUAGUUGCCAGCAUUCAGUUGGGCACUCUAGAGAGACUGCCGUCGACAAGACGGAGGAAGGCGGGGAUGACGUCAAAUCAUCAUGCCCCUUAUGACCUGGGCUACACACGUGCUACAAUGGUUGGUACAACGGGAUGCUACCUCGCGAGAGGAUGCCAAUCUCUUAAAACCAAUCUCAGUUCGGAUUGUAGGCUGCAACUCGCCUACAUGAAGUCGGAAUCGCUAGUAAUCGCGGAUCAGCAUGCCGCGGUGAAUACGUUCCCGGGCCUUGUACACACCGCCCGUCACACCACGGGAGUUUGCAACACCCGAAGUCGGUGAGGUAACCGCAAGGAGCCAGCCGCCGAAG